rnacentral:rRNA from 1 species
UGGCGGACGGGUGAGUAACGCGUGGGUAACCUGCCUCAUACAGGGGGAUAACAGUUGGAAACGGCUGCUAAUACCGCAUAAGCGCACAGUACCGCAUGGUACCGUGUGAAAAACUCCGGUGGUAUGAGAUGGACCCGCGUCUGAUUAGCUAGUUGGUGGGGUAACGGCCUACCAAGGCGACGAUCAGUAGCCGACCUGAGAGGGUGACCGGCCACAUUGGGACUGAGACACGGCCCAA